GUGGGAAUUCCCAUGAACUGCAUCUUCCCUGUGAAGAACUACCAUGAAGAAAUCAACCUCAACAGUGACAUUGACUCACUGAUCCUGAGCGCCCUGACAAACAUCAUCAACUUCGGAGACGACUGCAUCAACAUGGGUAAAGACAGUGAUUCCAAAGAAGAGCUUCUAAACUUCAGUAUUAAACCUGCACCCCCAUACGAAAAAUUGCAGUGAUAUGUGUCAGAUUGUCCUGAUGAGCCAGACUGUUUCAGACUUCUCUGAUCCUCCACCUGGGAUUUAUGUUGUCUGUUAUUCAUUCAAAUAAUCUAAACUCAGAGUGACUCUGUAAAUGUGUUCUGUCUAUGACCACAUAACCAUAAAUUAACACAUUUAAAUGUAUAUUUCCAUAGAUCUAUCUAUGUAUAUUUCUGUCUUGCAUUCUGCUGCAGCUCCACCCUGUGCAAGAAUAAAGUAUUACAGUUCAUUAACAUAGAGGAUCUUUGAGUGUAUUAUAUUAGCUACUGGAACUGAGCUUGGCUAGACUACUUUUUCAUUUUCUGCUCUACAUUCCUGGAAUGCCUAACAAAGCACCUUAAAAUGUGUCUCUACUCAAUCUAUCAGUCAAUUUAAGGCCUUGAUUAGUGUGUGUCUUAUUGUGUCUGCUUUAUUUGAUUGUUUAAAAAUGUGAUCUGUUGUAAUUUAGAUGUUAUGUUAUGGUUUAUUUGGGGAAAUGAAUGUUGUGCACUCGAGUUUUCAAUAAACUUUUUGAAAUUAAAUUUCAAAGUCUUUGGUUCUGAAGAAAAGUAGCUGGGCUGUAUCACGCACAUCAUUGUCUCGCUUUGCAAGACCUUCCUCCACAGCGCUGUGGAUGAAGUCUUUUUUUGUGUUUUUUAUUAUAACAAUCAAUUGUUUAUUCUAAAAAUGCCAACCAAUAAA